UGAGAGGCGGGACAUCUU
rnacentral:misc_RNA from 1 species